rnacentral:rRNA from 1 species
AGAGUUUGAUCAUGGCUCAGGAUAAACGCUGGCGGCGUGCCUAAAACAUGCAAGUCGAACGGUUCUCGUCUUUCGGGGCGGGGAUAGUGGCGAACGGCUGAGUAACACGUGGGUGACCUGCCCUCGAGCGGGGGAUAACUGCCCGAAAGGGUGGCUAAUACCGCAGACGUCGUGCAUUCGGUUGUACGACUGAACCCUUAGGGGGUUCGGGGAGGGGCCCGCGGUCGAUUAGCUAGCUGGUGGGGUGACGGCCUACCAGGGCGACGAUCGAUAGCUGGUCUGAGAGGAUGAUCAGCCAGACUGGGACUGCGAACGGCCCAGACUCCUACGGGAGGCAGCAGUUAGGAAUUUUGGGCAAUGGGCGAAAGCCUGACCCAGCAACGCCGCGUGGGUGAUGAAGGCCCUCGGGUCGUAAAGCCCUUUUCCCAGGGAAGAUAGUGACGGUACCUGGGGAAUCAGCCCCGGCUAACUACGUGCCAGCAGCCGCGGUAAUACGUAGGGGGCAAGCGUUGUCCGGAUUUAUUGGGCGUAAAGCGCUCGCAGGUGGUUCGAUGCGUCGUGCGUGAAAGACCCCGGCUCAACUGGGGAGGGUCGUGCGAUACGGUCGAACUGGAGGCCAGUAGGGGGAUGCGGAAUUCCGGGUGUAGUGGUGGAAUGCGUAGAGAUCCGGAGGAACACCAGCGGCGAAGGCGGCAUCCUGGACUGGUCCUGACACUCAUGAGCGAAAGCGUGGGGAGCGAUCCGGAUUAGAUACCCUAGUAGUCC